ACAUAUUUGGUGUUCACAAAUAGCAUCAAAGACCUGACUGCACUUGAGUGGCAACCUAUUAAGAACUCUGAAUUGAAAGCUAGGGAACUCAGGUUCAAGUUCCAGCUCUGCCAUACUAAGGCACCCUCUAUGGACCAGAGAACAACCUCUAGGAGUUGAGAGCAGUCCCUGGCUGAUACCAAGAAAACAAGACUUCAGUUCUAAAGCUGCAGAGGAAUGAAAUCUGCCAAUAAAAGGAAUGAUCUUGGAAGAGGACUAUGAGCUCCAGUUUUUCUUCCAGCUCUCAUGGAAACAAGCACUGCCACAGCCCCUUGAUGAGCCAGCAGAGUCCAGUCAUCUGGCAACAAUGACAGGUAUCUGGCAUCUGAGAGGAAUAUCAACUGAAGACAAUGAGAGAAUUAAAAAAGAAGUAAACACAAGACAAUCUUUUUUCACCCCCUUAGAUUCUGCAUUUCCACUUGCUUGAUUCAGUAAUUGUUUUGUUUUGAAUGUUGUGUAAAUGAAUGCUACAGCCCUAUGCAAUUUUUAAACCACUUUGCUGUGUGUCUCAUAUGGAGCUCAACAAUGUUACUGCUGGCAUGAGUGCACCAUAAAGCAUAUGACUCCCUGAUGUAACAUUUUAAAUAAGGAUACAUUUCUCAUCCAAUGUGACAUUAUGCAGGAAAAUUUCACUUCGUCACCUGUUUCUCAUGAGAGCUUGAGAAAGCUAUAUAAUUUUUUUUUUUUUUUGAGUCAGAGUCUUGCUCUGUCACCCAGGCUGGAGUGCAAUGGCACAA
rnacentral:lncRNA from 1 species